rnacentral:rRNA from 1 species
UCCUGGCUCAGGAUGAACGCUAGCUACAGGCUUAACACAUGCAAGUCGAGGGGAAACGACAUCGAAAGCUUGCUUUUGAUGGGCGUCGACCGGCGCACGGGUGAGUAACGCGUAUCCAACCUGCCCACCACUUGGGGAUAACCUUGCGAAAGUAAGACUAAUACCCAAUGAUAUCUCUAGAAGACAUCUGAAAGAGAUUAAAGAUUUAUCGGUGAUGGAUGGGGAUGCGUCUGAUUAGCUUGUUGGCGGGGUAACGGCCCACCAAGGCGACGAUCAGUAGGGGUUCUGAGAGGAAGGUCCCCCACAUUGGAACUGAGACACGGUCCAAACUCCUACGGGAGGCAGCAGUGAGGAAUAUUGGUCAAUGGGCGAGAGCCUGAACCAGCCAAGUAGCGUGCAGGAUGACGGCCCUAUGGGUUGUAAACUGCUUUUAUAAGGGAAUAAAGUGAGUCUCGUGAGACUUUUUGCAUGUACCUUAUGAAUAAGGACCGGCUAAUUCCGUGCCAGCAGCCGCGGUAAUACGGAAGGUCCGGGCGUUAUCCGGAUUUAUUGGGUUUAAAGGGAGCGUAGGCCGGAGAUUAAGCGUGUUGUGAAAUGUAGAUGCUCAACAUCUGAACUGCAGCGCGAACUGGUUUCCUUGAGUACGCACAAAGUGGGCGGAAUUCGUGGUGUAGCGGUGAAAUGCUUAGAUAUCACGAAGAACUCCGAUUGCGAAGGCAGCUCACUGGAGCGCAACUGACGCUGAAGCUCGAAAGUGCGGGUAUCGAACAGGAUUAGAUACCCUGGUAGUCCGCACGGUAAACGAUGGAUGCCCGCUGUUGGUCUGAAUAGGUCAGCGGCC